rnacentral:rRNA from 1 species
AUUGAACGCUGGCGGCAGGCCUAACACAUGCAAGUCGAGCGGAUGAAGGGAGCUUGCUCCUGGAUUCAGCGGCGGACGGGUGAGUAAUGCCUAGGAAUCUGCCUGGUAGUGGGGGAUAACGUCCGGAAACGGGCGCUAAUACCGCAUACGUCCUGAGGGAGAAAGUGGGGGAGCUUCGGACCUCACGCUAUCAGAUGAGCCUAGGUCGGAUUAGCUAGUUGGUGGGGUAAAGGCCUACCAAGGCGACGAUCCGUAACUGGUCUGAGAGGAUGAUCAGUCACACGGGACCUGAGACACGGUCCAGCCCCCCACGGGAGGCAGCAGUGGGGAAUAUUGGAAAAUGGGCGAAAGCCUGGUCCAGCCAUGCCGCGUGUGUGAAGAAGGUCUUCGGAUUGUAAAGCACUUUAAGUUGGGAGGAAGGGCAGUAAGUUAAUACCUUGCUGUUUUGACGUUACCAACAGAAUAAGCACCGGCUAACUUCGU